rnacentral:lncRNA from 1 species
CUUCAUUCCGUAUUCCAAGGCCAAAUUUUCCUGUUACCCCAGAUGUUUCUUGACUUCCUACUUUUGCAUUCCAGUCCCCUAUAAUGAAAUGUGGCCCCAUACCCCAUGGCUUAGUUUCAUUGAGUUAGACAAGGCUGUGGUCUGUGUGAUCAGAUUGACUAGUUUUCUGUGAUUAUGGUUUCAGUGUGUCUGACUCCUGAUGCCCUCUCACAACACCUACCAUCUCACUUGGGUUUCUCUUACGUUGGACGUGGGAUAUCUCUUCAUGGCUGCUCCAGCAAAGUGCAGCCGCUGCUCCUUACCUUGGACGAAGGGUACCUCCUCAUGGCUGCCCCUCCUGACCUUGAACGUGGAGUAGCUCCUCUCGGCCCUCUUUGUGCCCACUCUUGUUAUUGCUUUGAAGCUCAGCAAAGAAGGGAAAUCCAUUGAGAACAGUCUGUAAAGGUAAGUGUAUUUAUUACAUGGCCUUGACAAACAUUGCCUUUACAACAUUGAUUUUUCUUUUAUUCAGAGAUUUAAACACUCGGAUUAAAGAUAUAGCUGACAGGACAACUUCCUUAACCACCUGCUUGUCCUCCCUCACAGGCAAAAGUGCUGAGCAAUAGUUAGAAGGGAGAAGGAGGAAAUAAAAUGAUGUGCUGAGGGUGGCCAAAUGCAAUUGUAUGCUUGCUGACUUUUGCUUUCUUCUCAGCAGUUAAGACAUUCCAGUGGCACUAAGUUUACUAAGAUUAAUGCUAGAUGGAAAAAGAAUGCACUUGUACCACUUCUGGUCAAUAGUUAAGUAAAACCAGCUGGCUGAAUAAAGCAUUUAAGAUAAAAUGCAAAGUGGCAUUUCAAUUGGGUUGCAUGAGAUUUAUCAUGAAAGUCAGAUGUGCUGUUGUGUAGAGGAGCUAGUUUUGUCGAAAGGAGAAAGCCAGCCAGUUUGGUGUAGCUAAUUUCAUUCUUCGCAGUCACUGUGGACACUAAGUGAGUUACAGGAAAUGAACUUCCAAGUUCAAAGCAAUGGAGAAAGUACCUACUCAGCCUCCUGUGAAACAUUACAAUCGAGUUGGUUUUUACAUGGAAAAAAUGUAAUCGUUUCCUCUUUCCUAGGUAUAUUUAUAAGCAUACUUCUGUACAGC